GCGGCGGCGGAGGCGGCUGUGGCGGCGGUGGCGGCGCGGUCCGGGCUCGGGCCGGGAGUUGCGGGCGGGCGGUGGGAGCGGCGGGGCCGGGCGGGCGCGCUGGAGGCUGCGGGCGGCCGUUCAGCGGGGGGUCGUAUGGAUCAGGGGGGGGCUCAUGGCUGCCGCGGCCGCCAUGUGCUGCUCUCACAGAGCCAUGGCUCGGGGAUCCGGGCUGCUGCCGCUGCGGCUCCGACUGCCGGGGGGAGGGGGAGCGGCACAGCGCAGGAAGCCAACCCGCCGCCGCCGCCGCCUGCAGCAGGGAGAGCGGAACGGGCGGGACUUGGCGGCGGCCGCCGCUGCCACUCACCGCGCGGGGCGCGCGCUCCGGAGCCGGGUGGGAAGGAGGGAGGGGGAGCGCGCCCCCAACGCCGCCGCCCGGUGUCCGCCGCCGCCCUCACGGCCCCGCGCGCUGCCCUGCCCUGCCCUGCGGCCCCGGCGCGGCGCGGCCCGCGCAGCCCGCCCGCCGCGGCUGUUGCAUAACCCAAGCAUGCGCGGGAGCGCGGGGCCGCGGGCGGAAGCGGGUGGCGGGGAAGGGGAGGGGCUGCGCGGGGGCGGAGGAUCGGGGCGGGCGGCGGGAGCCGGUGCGGUGCGGUGCGGUACGGCGCGGCGCGGCGCCCCGGUCCGCUCCGGCUGGCGCCAUCGUGGCCGGCGGACUCCGCGCCUCGGGGCGGAGCGGGCACGGAUCCGGGCGGCCGCUUGCCUCGGGCCGGGCGGGGCAGCGCUGCCGCCGCCACCUGUUGCCCGCGGCUCGGGCUGCCCGCCGUCACGGGGCCAGGCAACCGCCGGGCUCUCUGCCGGCCCCGCUGCUCUGAGCGCCGGAGCCCUGCGCAGCCGCCGCUCCCUCUGGCGGAGCCGCGCGGGCCCUCGUGGCCGCUAUUGGGCAGCGCUAAUUGCGGCCCAUCCUCGCCUCACGCGCAGCCCGGCAGUUACUGCCGCCCGCACGGCCUGCCCGGCCUCGGGGUGUGUGAGUCGAGUGCAGCUGCGUGGAAUCGUUUGCAAAAGGCACAGCGCUGUGCCUCGGCAGUUGCGUGCAUGAAGGAAUAACGCAGUGCCCGAGCAGGCUGUGCUGGGUGUCAGGAACACAUGGAGCUGUGUGUGUGUGUUGUUCCUUCACACCAAUAGUUUAUCAGUCAAAAAAAAACCCACAACAAAACGUUAUGAGACUUCAUUCAGGCUGGAUUGGCACCUAAAGUGAAUGCCCCCACCUGAGAGCAGCUAUACUGACAGGGCUGCAGAAGCAGUCAAUGAGAAAUACAUGUCUUCCUAGAAAUCCGUUUUUGUAAUGCUCUGACUGUGGUUCCCUAAGCAAAUAAUCACAUGGACUCGUUUUCCAUAGCAGUCAUCACAUUUACAAUAGCGUCUAAAGAAUAAAGCACAGAGCAUUCUAAAAAGCAUACAAAAUAUGGCAGCACUGCUAAUGUGAGGACGGAAGAUGUAGAAGAAAGGACUUAACCAUUCUAACUACCUCCAGAUUGCCCAAAACUUGGUCAAAAGAGCAAGUGCCGCCAUGCAGGAGGUGCGCAGACAGCAGCUGCUCAGACAUGCCUGCACAUAACCAGGUGUGAAGUGCAAGGUGUGAUCACAGGCAGCCCAAGGACAGCGAUGUACUCCUUCAAUACACUAUUCAGGAUCAAAUCUUUAACCAUAUCCCACUCUUUAAAACAGGCAUUCAAGAGACGCUUUUUUCCAUCUUCUGGCCAUACAGAGGAUAGCCCAUCGUCAGAUGAUUCUUAAGAAACGAGCGGUUGCUGAUUGAAGGACAAAUCGACAUCUGAGUACUUAUUUCACAGGAUGUUUAGGUUUGGUACUCUUAGGAAUAAGUCACAUAGAAAUAAAACAUUUCUUCAGUUUACUUUGGUGUUUAUUUUUUGUUUGUUCUGUAAAAAGGAAAACUCUUGUUCUGUAAAAAGGAAAACUAAUCCAAAGCACCUGAACUGUUAGCUUUGUGAUGCUUCCCAUGGAGAUAGGAGGGCACAGCGUUACUGAGUGCUGCAGGCUCACUGUGUGCAACUGGAUGCAACCCUCCCUCCUUGGGACAAAAGAGAAGAGAGGGGUAAAGCAGGAGGGGAACACAGUGCUUGAAGAAGUCGUUUGACACAAAUAGCUGUUUUUUUUUUUGGUAAGUAUUUGGCUGGACAAGAAGGCAAUGAAAAAGCAGUAUAAUUUAUGGAGAGCAAAAUUACGGCAGGAAAGCAGGUAGAAUAAGAUUUAAAAAGCAAUUAACUGAAGGCAUGAAGACAAACAAGGCAUUUUUUUCAACAACCAGCAGCAGAAUGCCUGCAGGAAUCAGUUAGAAAAUGGGGUAACGGAGGAAAAGGCACCGAGGAGCUUUUUUCUCAGCACAACACAUUGCGGUCUGCGAGUCGUGUAAGGGAAGGGUUAAUAAGAAUUAUUAUUAAAGUCAGUGACUCAUUAAACAACCUGAAUAGAAGAGAAUUAGGAGUGGCUCCCUAGAAGGAAGGAACUGAACAAUUAUUAGGAAGAGCUCCUAAUGAAUAACCAUGUCAGGGCAAGAACAUAGAGAUGAAUGUUAUCAUUUCAGUCUUUGUUUGUCUGCUAACGAAGUCGGGUCCCACCGUGAGAUGAAUGUGGAUGUAGGCAGCGGAAUGGGCUAUCCAGGGUACCCUUGGUGGGUACGUGUGCCUGGAGAUAACUGAUACCUGUAUUAUUAUCUGUGAGAAAUACUGGUUUUAUCUGAUUUCCCUUACUAUUUCUCCUCCUCUCUCACCCUGCUGCACGUCAUCAAGUUGCUGCUGCCCCAGAACUUCACAGUCCUCGCUGCUGCUGCAGGAGCAAAGCUCCUGUCCUGUCUGCUUACUGCUGGGAUGGGGAGCGGGCCACAGCUUGUCCUGCUGCAGGGCACUCGCAUGCAUUGCCACUGAAGUGCACGAGUGGACACGUGUCUUUUCUAUCAGUAUCUCUGUAUGCAAAUGCAGACAUUUGGAAGUAAGCAUCCAGGAAGUGCUGAGAUUCCUGUGUUGGCUGAGAUGUUAGCUGCCCUAUUUCCCUUUCCUGUAAUCUGACUGUAGUAGGGGUAGAUUGUAUGCAGUGAUAAAACGGGCCCUAUCUUCUCUCGCGGUAAAUUUCUUGCAUAUGUGCUUAGUCAAAUUUUUGCUUACAGAAGCUUGCAGAAUCUUCAUGUGCCUUAUGUAAAAACAACAACACUUCUGCUGGGACACUUGUGCAGGUUGACUCACCUCCAUCCCUAGGAUGUAAGUUUACUAAGAAGUGCUCACAGAGCUGCCAGGGUGCUCCUACAGACCCCACAGCCUGUACAGAACAGCAGAGCUGAGCAGGUGCCAGUGUUGUGAACAAGCACCAGAGCUGAACAAGGAGCUGAAACCUGGCACCAGUGUGAUGUGACACGUCUACCACGAUUUCCUCCUUGGUUGAAGUGCUUCAUCGUACCUCUGCUGCACCAGUAAGAGCUGUGUGCUCCAACUGCUGGCCUCCAGCUGAGAGCGCCGUGCUUCCCUUCCCAAUGGAAAAGCAACAGAAGUGGCCAUUAAUACCGCCCAGUGAAGCAGAGCACAGCAUAGCAGGGUUUAAUGACACGCUUUGCUCCAGCGGAGGCAAUCCAUGAGGACAGAGCUACACAGACCUGUGCCCAGCACUGGCAUUUUGGCAUCACCGUAUGUCCUGCUCGCUUGAGUGGCAAUGCACAUGGAGCUCAAGUUACUUAUGCUUUGGAUUGCUGCCCUUUCGGUGAUAUAAAUGGAGUUGACUAUGCAGUACGGCAAUUUUUUCCUCUCAUAUAUAAUAUGACGCAUCUUUGCAAUAAUUACAGGUAAAACAGUGCACAAAAAUAAACUAUUUUCUAUGAAGUUUAAAAUAAAAACAAACAGAUGCCAGCUUGGAACAACUUAUUUACCCUAAAAUUCAUUAGGAUCAGAAUACCAAAUGUGAAGUAGCAUAACACAGGCACCAGGGGAAAAAAAACAGCUAGUGGUGAAAAGUGCAAAGAAAUCUGAUGCAUCUCCAAGCUAGUCAUCUUUUACUUGAUUCAGCAUAAACUGCAUGUAAAAAUAAAUUAAAAUAUUAUAUUUGAGAUUCACUUUUGGCAGGAAAAGGAAUGCUGUGCUUGUCAAAGUGACACAAGAAUUUCUGUGCCCAGUUUCUAAAAUGGUGUCAUCAGAACACAGAUAUGAAGUAUUACCCAUUCUGAGCAGAAAAUACAGACCGUGGUGGGCAGUAGACACAACACUACUCCGGGUAUAGAACUGACUUGAUAGAAACAUUGAUGUACCUGUUGAUGCUUAGGAAAUAAAAUUCAACCUCAGCAUACAGGGAAGCAACCUGAGAGUGGCCUAGUGGAACAAAAAGCUUCUUCCUGCAGCAGACUGAAUGGUCCAGAAUAAGUGAAGCCCAAGUCACUUAUCAGCAACAAGAGUUAACAUUUCAGUCCAUCUCAGAAGAUAUAGCUCAGGAACAUUCAUAAGGUGCACCAAGUCCUUCCUAUACUGAUGAAUUGAAGGUAAUUUCAGAAGAAGCUGAUUUGGAAGGAAAACAAUCUCCUUUUGGAAAAAUUCAUAUCUGGAAAACAUGUUAAUUGCUUUAUGACUUGCAUUCCUCAGUAUCUCUAUACAGAUUUUUUUUUAAUAAUUAUUUUUCAAGAUUUUCAUAAAGUGUACCUUUGGCAAAGGAACUGGGAAGAGAUGCCCACACAUAUCCUAGGUACAAAUGCAGGCACCAUCAAGAUUUCACGACUUGUUAAUUUCUACUUCUUCUAUGUAAAAUCAUGAAGUGCCUGGGUGACAGCUGCAGCAACUGUUUACAUUAUCUGAAAUACCAGCACAGUGUUCUCGCUGCAUACCAACAAGAACCGAGGCCCAUAUUCUACAAACGUUUUCAAAGGAAAUAUUUGAGGCAAGCUGCCAGCCUUGGGUUUGAAAUUCUCACUGCGGUUAAUGGUGGCACGCAGGGUUGGGGUUGACUUUUACCUACUUUUCAAUAUUGCAUAUGCAUUCCAGUACUUUCUUUGUAAGAGGACACAUGGUAAAUAUUCAAAUCCCUCCAAACAGUGAAUUCUUUUAAACUUUUAUCUGAAAAAGAUGCUAUUUUUCAAGCUGAGAAGGGCAGUUUCCUCCAUCUGUUCAGUGGCAGAUAAGUUCAAAACGAAGACUUUCCACCGGCUUCAGUAGGGUCUGAAUCAGACACCUCUGCCAGUGCUUUGAUAGAGUUAUUUUUCAUAAAGAUGCAACAUCAACCGGAAGAAUCCUGUAAUUAUUUCUGGGGAAUUAAUAAAUACUUCUUCAGUGGUGAAACACUGCAUACUUUCAGUCCUUAUUUGGAGCCCAACCACUCUAUAUGUCAUUGAAGGCCUUGUCUCGCACAGACAAUUAGUGAGACAAACUGGAAUGAUGUCUUCCAAAAGCUCUGGCUAGGAGCAGCUCCCAGUUGUGAAGCGUGCAGAUGAUGUUCUCUUUAGGGCUGGAAAAGCUAUCUGCUAGCUGAUGGGAAAAUUACAGGUGCUGAUGAAGUGUGAGCCUCUCAGUGAACAUGUCUGCCUAAGACUGAAAUGAUUUUCUGUAAUUCCUGCUUUCUGCACAAGUUUUCUGGGGAGGGGCUUCAAAAGUGAGAAUUUCCCCAAGGAAAAGGAAAUGUGUCUCUUUGAUAUGGCCAUGGAGCUGAGGAGCAGACACCGUGAGUUACAAGUUCAUGGAGGGUGAUGACAAAUGUUUGAACACUCCUUAGCAAAUCACUCACACAUGAUUUAUGGAGCGAAUUACUUGCAGAAGGAUUACAGCACAUGUUUUCCAAAAACAUAAAUUUGGGAAAAAUCAAUCUGCUCACAGACAAAUAACGAAAAGAGGAAGAGGAAAAUAUUCUCAAACAAAUCUGAAUCUGGAAAUCAUUCACUCAGCUCAGUUUACAGUGACCAAUUUUUAUGGUAGUAGGAGCUUGUGGAGUAGGAGGUAACUGUAAGAAGAAUGAUUGAUUCAGUGUCUUAUAUUGCAAUUCUGGAAGAGGUUCAACAUCUAAUUUAAAAGCCAUUUUCUUGCUCUUACCCAGUAAAGAAAUCAAAAUGAUAGUCAAUGACUGUGAGUUUUGGGCAGAUAGCAUCUAUUUUGUGUCCCUAAAGUCCUGUGGUCACUGACACAGGCUGGUUCAUAACAAAGAGCAGUUACUUAUUAUGAAAGGCCUCUCUUGCCUGAAAAGAAACCUGCCAGAGGAAGGAUAUUGCUGUUAUAAUCCUCUUUGCAUCUUCCCAUUAGAGGGGAAAAUAUUUGCUCUUCCAGAAGGCUCAAAAUUAGUUAUAAACUUGGUGCUUUCCUUCAGCCUGUGAGUUGGGGAGACCUGAGUAAACUGCAUCUUCUCCAGCCCAUCUUCAUUUCUUGACAGUAAUUAAGAGAGCAGUGAUUUACUUCACCCUAGGAAGGAGACAAAGCACACUUUGGGCAUCUCUCUCCCAAGGCCUAGCCACACACCUGGCACAGGUGCUUCCUGCUCCAGACAGAGGUGGCUCUGAGUGUUCUGCUUAUGCCACUGGCACGGUGGGUGUGCAGCCAACAGCAGAUCUCCUUAAGUCCUUACGCUUUCUUCCUGAUUCCAUAUUUAACUCCUAAUUUCAUUCCUGAGCAGUCAAUGCUGUCUUUCACAGAGACAGCAGAUAGGAAGUAGUCCACUUGAGCCCUACAAGCUCAAUACUGCUAAUAUGUCAACUUCAACAAUUUAUCCAUACAAGAGCUUUAACUCCAACAACAAUCUGAAUGCAGACAGAUCUCAGCCUGCCUCUGUAGAACGCUUGAUCCAGGUCAAAACCUACCACUAACCUUUGCCUUUAUCCUGCCCAGAAUCCCCCAGACCACAUGCAUUUGGGAAGCUGGGCUAGAGAGGGUAAGAAAGAUAUCCUGCUAGCUUUUUUGGCUAUUGUUUAAUUUGUUACACAUGAUUAACUCCUCUAUGUUGCUGCCUGGCAGAAUCCGUGACUAAAAAUAUCCUGUGAGUAUACGGUGCGUGCUGCAACACUGGCAGAAAGUAAAUAAGACCAUAGUCCUCAUAAUCACUGUUUUUGCUAAGAACUACUGCUCCCAGCAGACUGGCUAUUUUAGGCUGUAAACGGAAAGCUGAAAAUGAGGUUUUCUUUCCCUGCCAGUUCUUCUCCUGGGAAUUCUAUUGCUUUCUGCUCUGCCCCUACUCCAGGUGUUGAUGGCAGCACGCUGCUAACACUGGUCUCACAGGGAAUGGAUCACCAGAGCUGGUUCUGAGGUAUACCAGUGAACAUAGGAAAUAAUUUCCACUAGUAUUGUCAUAUCAUUUGAAUGGAGCACUUGAUCAAAAGUGGAUGGGGAUAGUUUGAUUUACUUCUUGAGUCAGGUGAUAGUUCACUCAGAUUCAGCUUUACGAAGUCAGAAGGGUAUCUUUAGCUGCCUGCACUUCCUGUUCUAAUACUGGUAAAUGUAUUUGCCUCUCUCUUAAUUUUGCAGAACACCUUUUAACCUCUUAUUUGAUGAUCUAAACACAAACACUCUUGAUUUGUAGUCCCAUUGAUACCAGCGAUGCCUGGCCUUGUCUCCAUGAUAUAGCACCUAGAUCACACAUAUCAUAUAGAUCUAAUGAAAGAACUUUGCACGGUGUGCAAGUCUGAGAAGUGCUAAUUAUUAUUCUUAGACUCCAUGCAUUAUGUAUUUUCUGCUGGAAAAAGCUUUGCGUUUUUAGGAAUUCAAAAGAUUAGGCUUUGCUACAGCAACAUGCAAGUCUAAGAACUUGAGAACAAGUCAUAAUCUUUAGCAUUAGCUGUACCUUUCUGAUGGCUCAAAUGUUGUUUAGAAGGAUUUUCUAGGAAGGAUUUUCCAGGAAACACCCUAGCUAUUUCAUACUGUAUGGCAAACAGGUAUACAGAUUGUAAGGUAUACAGGUAUAGGACCAGAGAGAUUACCGUGUUUACAAAAGAGUAAUGAAAUAAAGAGCUUACCCAUAUCCUGGGCUCGCAGAAGGGUUCCAAAAGGGAUGAUCUCCAGAUAGAGAUCCUUCCUCCUUGGGAGACAGCCCUUAAAUGGGGUCUAGGAGGUCACUAAGGUGAAAUUGCGUUCACCUGUGCCCCUGCAGCUGACUCUGCUCACCUCAGGUGGUCAAUCAGAGGUUCAGGCCGUGAUUCAACAGUUCCCGUACACAUGGCAUGAACACUGCUGUCGUAUCAGGCCUGUAUAGCCUUAUUUGUGGAAUGCCACUCAAGAGCAUCCUUUGAGUUGCUGAGUAUCUGCUGAGUUCUUUUAAUCAGUUGUACUACUGUGAAGUGGUCUGUGUAUAUAAAAAAAAAAAAAACUUUUAACUUCCCACACAAAUAUCAGCCAGCAGCAUUCUGACAUUCAAUAAAGUCUGCAGUUCUAAUAGUUACUGAAACUUUUCAAAGUUAUGCCUAAAUGGAGGCAAUUAUAUAUCCAUACCUGUAUUUGCAGCGUUCUUAUGGUGUCUUAUUUCUUUCAAGAUCCUAUUGACUUUUCAGUUCAUGUGGUAUGAUACAGCAAGAGAUCACUGAGCACAGGGCUGGCCCACCAGCAGGCAUUCUGCUCUGCCUGCUGCACUUAUGUGGCAUGA
rnacentral:lncRNA from 1 species